UACAGAGGUGGCAAGCGUUGUUCGGAAUUACUGGGCGUAAAGGGCGCGUAGGCGGUCCCGUCAGUCCCUUGUGAAAUCCCCCGGCUCAACUGGGGAACUGCAAGGGAUACAGCGGGGCUUGAGUUCGGGAGAGGGAAGCGGAAUUCCGGGUGUAGCGGUGAAAUGCGUAGAUAUCCGGAGGAAUACCGGUGGCGAAGGCGGCAUCCUGGACCAUUACUGACGCUGAGGCGCGAAAGCUAGGGGAGCAAACGGG
rnacentral:rRNA from 1 species